AGCCUUAGGCAGACACUUAACUGAGCCACCCAGGCACCCCAAUAUUUAAGUAUUUUAAUAGAAAAGUUGCAUAAGGCUUACAAAAAGAAAAAAAAAAAUUCUCAUCCUUUCAUGAAUAAGCUACAACCAAUUCUGAGAAGUUCAGAAGGAAGGCACUUUUUUACCCAGGCUUCUGAAGGGAUUUAAAUUGGUAAAGGUCUUAAGUAAAGGAUAUUAUAAGGUGAAAUGUAUUUAAGAAAAUGUCUGCUAUGGACAAAUGCCUUCUUUCAAUGAAGGCCAGGUAGCCUUGGCCAGUCUUCUCUCUUUCACGAGCAUUUGAUGAUCCCUCCCCAAGAAGCAGAGAACAGGGGGUGCAGACCAGUCAGUGGGCCUCCUAUUAGCACUUUGGGCCAGUGUUUGUCUGUUGCAAGUCUUUUCCAUCAUUUCUUUUGCCUGCAUCACCAUGGUUGUCUGGGCUUCUAGAUUGUUCUCACUGCAGUCAGCAUGACCCUCUCAAAAUGUUUCAGUGGUUUUGCAUCUCAUUUAGAAUAAAAUCCAGAGUCCUUGUCGUGGCCAACGAGGUUCCAUCUGUGCUUGUCCCCUGACACCAUCUGAGCUCAUCCCCCUGGCUCCUUCCCUCCAUCCUGGCUUCCUGUCUGCUGGAAGGAACCCCAGCCAGGCCUCUGAGGCUUGGCUCUAUACUGUUUUCUCUGCUUAAAAAGAUCUAACCUGAGAUUUCCAGAUGUCUGCUCACAAGUCCCCUUAGCAAAGGCUCCUUUCUUGAGCACUUGCUCUAAAUCAGCUCCACAUACUUUGUCAUUCUCCACCUCUGUAUCUGCCAUUCUCUCCUUCCAGUACUUAACACCUGACAUGUUUUGUAUCUACAUAUUUAUGGUCUACUCACUACUUCGUAAGCACCACUUUCCCUGCUGUAGUCACUUAUUUCACCUAUUUUGUGUGCUGGGGUUUCCCCUCAGUCCUCAGAACGAUGCCUGGCCUCCAACAAGCACUCAAAAAAGGAUUGAAUGAAUGAAUGGGCACGGAUGGCCCCUGAAUUGCAGUCGGUGAGGGGGCAAAGCAUUUCUUUAUAAGUCUGCAGACAGAUCAGAGCAGAAGCUUAAGCUCCGGUGCACAAAUACAGACCUAGAAGGGGUACGGGAGCUGGAGAGGACAUGGGUGCCCCAGCAGUGGGAGGUGCACAGCAGUUGGCCAAAUCAGGUGAGGAAAUGUUGAGUGAGUAUUUAAUAAUCCAGGGGAAUUCACACACUUUUAAAACUUUCCUGCUUUCCAACCCAAUCUAAUCAGCCAGAGUGUUGUGACCAGCUCUUGGUACAAAGGGAGGUCAGGACUCCAAAGAAAAAUAAAACCAGUGGUGGUGAUUGCUAGAAUUUCCAAGUUUCCAAAUAAACAGGAUUCUGGGAAAUGUCCUCACUUAAUUCAGGGCAAAGAGCGUUUAGGGUUUGUGACCCCGCCUCAGUAUUUUUCUUUCUUUUUUCAGUAUCUCUCCUUACGUGUUUGUCCUGAAGAAAAUCCACACACAUUCUAGUGUAAGUGUGUGGUGUGAUAAGCUCUGCGAAACAAGGGCUUUUCUCUGCCUUAUCUUCACUGAAAAGAUGUGAACAAAGGGUGAUUAUUCUGGAGUGCUGCCUCUCCCUCAGGAUAGCACUUCAGCAGCACUCCUUCCCUCCUUGGACUGAUGGCUGCCACCACCCCCAGGAAGACUCCUGUUUCACUUUUUGAAAACAGGUCAAGGUGGAGAUUGCCGAUACCUCUUUCCCCCAACACCUUACCUCUGACUUCAGUUUCUACCAUUCUUUUUCCUUACCCAAUCAACCACAUUGGUUUUCUGCUGUUUCCCCAGUAUCCCAGAUUUUUUUCCUUGAAUUAGAAAUAUUUCUUAUUAAAAUAGGGUCUUCUCAUGAGGAUAGAAUGUGCAAGAGAGGCUUGCUGGGUUUUCUCAUCCCAGCAGGCUGUGGCUGACCAUUCAAAACUUUUCUCCCUAUGUAGGAGGGAAAGUUCUCCACCUACUCCUGGGAAAUAAGACUACUCUAAUUUUACUUUUGAUUAUUUGCAUGCAUUAAGAAAAAAAUAAAAAUAAAACUAUUAACAGUCUAUCUGUCCCUGGUCACAUAUGCCCAGUCCAGUUGUGGGCCUCAAGUCCCCAUCUCUGUGUGCUGGCCAGGAUUAAAUGGUACCCUAGAAAUAAGGUGUUCCUGGCUAGGGAUAAAAGAAGGCUCUAGCUCCCAGUCAUCUGGUUGAAAACAUGCAUAGUGCCUUCAAUGAGAAUUUGAGAUUCCCUCUUUAACAAGGAAUACUCUGGGUAUAGGAGGGCAGCCCCCUGGCCAUAGGUGGUAUCUGGUCUAGAAGCUACUUACUCCAUUUCCUAAUCCUCUUUGAGAUUCCUUAAGCUGACAAGAAUGAAUGCAAAUUCCAGAAUGACACACCAACCUUUACAAGGUUGAAGAAGUCAUUAAGGCAACAGUCUCCCCAACUUCGUGCACAGAACUCUGACCCCACCAUCCCCCUCAUUUUACCCUUCAGGACCACCUAUUCCUGCCUACCACUUCUCCUCAGUGGCAGCUUCCAGCAUGCAGAAGCCCUGAGCAGCCUUCACCCUCACAAGUCAGGAAUGGCCUGAUUAAGGAACUUUAUACAUACUUCAAGUCCAAGGUCCUACCUCAACCUCUUUGCACUUGCUUUUCCGUUUGCCAUAGAAAGCUCUUCCCCAUCCCAUAUUCUCAAGUCUUGCUCCUUCCUGAAAAUGUGACAUCCUAGGUUUCCUUUCUAUGAUCAUCCCACCUAAAUUUCCAUGCCCUUCCAAUUUGCUCUCUCUCUCCUUAUCUCCUCCCUGGUUUGGUUUUCUUCUUACAGCUGUCACCAUGUAACAUACUAUAUAUCUUUCUUUUUUAAUUUGACUUAUUGUCCCCUUUUCUCCCACUAAAAAGUAUGCUUCAGCAGAGAGAGAUUUUUGUUUUGCUUACUGAUCUACCCUUAGUGUGUAAGACAAUGCUUGAAGUAUGCACAAUAGAUCCUCAAUGAACAUUUGUUGAAUGCAUGGACUUUUUCCAGCUGCAGGAGAGCAGGGAUCCCAGGAAGGUUGUUUAACCUCUACAUCAGAAGUGAGAUAGCACAGGCUCCUGUUUGCUCACUCGUCAUACAGAUGCUUAGAAGAGCUAAAGCUAAACUUCUCAACCCUAGCUGAGUGUCAGAAUCCCCUGAGGAGCUUGAUAGAGACUCAGCUGCCCCAGCGACUCUGUGACUUCAGUGGUAACAAGCCACAUAUGGAUCAUCUCCCCUGAAAAAGAUCUACAAAAAUAGAUGAACUGCUGUCUACAACAGAGGAUAGAAGGACUACAUCAAGAUGGAGUCCAUUUCCACCAUAGAAAGCCGAGGACAGUAUGCAGGAUGAGUCUGAAGCAAGUUCAAAUGAAGAAUCUACAAGUGAAGCAAGAUAACAGGUGGGAUUUCUGCUUAUUUGGGGACACUAAUUCCAGCCCCAAGCCUCACUGGGUCAGAUUCUGAAAAACUGGCAUUGUCGAAUAUGCCUAGAAGUCAGGGAGACUGGCCUGGAGCAGGAAUUUGUAAUUUUGGAAACUAGCCCACACAGCACUAAUUCAGACACAGCCCGUGACUUUACUAAUGUCAAUUGGUAAAGGUUGCUGUUGGACGUUAACAUCCAUUUUGUACCAUGUGGAUUUGGGCUAUUAUUUAUUUUUAAUCAUAAAAAAGAACUAAUUUAUACAAGUACAGUUUAAUUCAUUCACCAAAUACCACUUAUUGAGUGCCCGUUAUGUUCUACAUUCUGGAAGAUCCACAGAUGAACAAGACAGACAUGAUCUCUGUACUCAGAAAACGUACUUCCUGUAGAGAGAUGGUCAAUUAAACAAAAUGCUUU